rnacentral:sRNA from 1 species
AAACAUAAACCAUGGACCUCUUUUGUGAGUAAACGUCUUCUUUCUCUC